CACGUCAGCGUGCUUUGUUGACGUGGCAACAAAUCGCGUCCACGAGGGGGCGAUUUGUUGCCACAUCAACAAAGCGCGCUAACGUGA
rfam:Gossypium raimondii Chr04_contig_1411, whole genome shotgun sequence.